GAAAACCCCUUUUUAAACUACUCAGAGCAUUGAGAUAGUGCCUGAGCCUGUCAUCAGCAUGGGGGCUGGCAGAGGGCACAGCCAGCAGCGUGAAGGGUUUGAUUUACCUGAGUGCUGGCCAGUCAGCUCUGCUGCUCUGAGUAGAAAUCAGAUUGUUUAUCCAACCCCUCUGCUCUGAUCUGCACUUUUGGGUUCAUGCUCUAAAGUAAAACCUGCAGCAGCCAGGUCAACAGCCUCAGACAGCAAAGGUCACCAAGCCUGGGCACUAAAACAGGACACAAAAGGUGUCCAGCUGAGCCCCACACUAACCCCAGCACACCACUCAUUACUGCAGUGCUUACAGCUAAUUAAGAGUGCAAGGCAGCAUCCCCAGGCAGCUGAUCAGAAUCAGGAGACACCACAUAAUGGAUUGACAUGUGCAGCCCUCAGUCCUGGCACAAACCAUGCCAUCCAUCCAUGUCAGCCCUGCUCUUUCCUUUUGCUGUUCCCCCCAGCCUCUCCUCCAGAGCCCUCUCUGGAGCAGUGAUUGAGGAUGCUGGAUCCCCAGCCCUUCCCUGACAGCACAGAGCACUGGGGAGAGGAGAUGCUGUCAUCUCAGGAAGCUUGGAGCAGGGGAGAAAGAAAAACCUGAAUGUUUUU
rnacentral:lncRNA from 12 species